rnacentral:rRNA from 1 species
AGAGUUUGAUCCUGGCUCAGAAUGAACGUUGGCGGCGUGGAUUAGGCAUGCGAGUCGUGCGCGAAUCGUAGCAAUACGAGGAAAGCGGCGAAAGGGAGAGGAAUACGUAGAAAUCUACCCUCGGGACUGGGAUAGCGGCGGGAAACUGCCGGUAAUACCAGAUAAUGUUUCCGAACCAAAGGUGUGAUUCCGCCUGAGGAUGAGUCUACGUCCUAUUAGCUAGUUGGCGGGGUAAUGGCCCACCAAGGCGACGAUGGGUAGCAGGUGUGAGAGCACGACCUGCCUCAUUGGGACUGAGACACUGCCCAGACACCUACGGGUGGCUGCAGUCGAGAAUCUUCGGCAAUGGACGAAAGUCUGACCGAGCGACGCCGCGUGCGGGAUGAAGGCCCUCGGGUUGUAAACCGCUGUCGUAGGGGAACAAAUCUAUGGGGGUUCUCCCUUGUAGUUGAGUGACCUUGAGA